rnacentral:rRNA from 1 species
CACGAGGCCUUUACUGACGCUAAAGCUCGAAGGUGCGGGUAUCGAACAGGAUUAGAUACCCUGGUAGUCCGCACGGUAAACGAUGGAUGCCCGCUGUUUGCGAUACACUGUGAGCGGCCAAGCGAAAGCGUUAAGCAUCCACCUGGGGAGUACGCCGGCAACGGUGAAACUCAAAGGAAUUGACGGGGGCCCGCGCAAGCGGAGGAACAUGUGGUUUAAUUCGAUGAUACGCGAGGAACCUUACCCGGGCUUGAACUGCCGGCGAACGAUACAGAGAUGUUGAGGCCCUUCGGGGCGCCGGUGGAGGUGCUGCAUGGUUGUCGUCAGCUCGUGCCGUGAGGUGUCGGCUUAAGUGCCAUAACGAGCGCAACCCCUCUCCGUAGUUGCCAUCGGGUGAUGCCGGGCACUCUGCGGACACUGCCACCGUAAGGUGUGAGGAAGGUGGGGAUGACGUCAAAUCAGCACGGCCCUUACGUCCGGGGCUACACACGUGUUACAAUGGGUGGUACAGAGGGCAGGCGUCCGGCAACGUCCGUCUAAUCCCGAAAGCCAUCCUCAGUUCGGACUGGGGUCUGCAACCCGACCCCACGAAGCUGGAUUC